GUGGCGAACGGGUGAGUAAUACAUAGGAAUCACCCCUCUAGUGAAGGAUACCCUCGAGAAAUUGAGAACAAUCCUGCAUAAGUCCCUUCGGGGAGAAAGGUGGCCUCUUGCUGCCGCUAGGGGACGAGCCUAUGUGCUAUCAGCUAGUUGGUAGGGUAAUGGCCUACCAAGGCUAUGACGGCUAGCCGGCCUGAGAGGGUGUACGGCCACACUGGAACUUAGACACGGUCCAGACUCCUACGGGAGGCAGCAGUGGGGAAUAUUGCGCAAUGGGCGAAAGCCUGACGCAGCGACGCCGCGUGGAGGAUGAAGGUCUUCGGAUUGUAAACUUCUGUUAGGUGGGAAGAAAUCUAUCGUUUUAAUACAACGGUAGGCUGACGGUACCAUCAGAGAAAGCACCGGCUAACUUCGUGCCAGCAGCCGCGGUAAUACGAAGGGUGCGAGCGUUAUUCGGAGUGAUUGGGCGUAAAGGGUGUGUAGGCGGUGCGUUAAGUCAAUUGUUAAAUUUCUCGGCCUAACCGAGGGUCAGCGGUUGAUACUGGCGUGCUUGAGGGCGGAAGAGAGAAGCGGAAUUCUCGGAGUAGCGGUAAAAUGCGUAGAUCUCGAGAGGAACACCGAUGGCGAAGGCAGCUUCUUGGUCCAUUUCUGACGCUGAG
rnacentral:rRNA from 1 species